ACCCGCUGAACUUAAGCAUAUCAAUAAGCGGAGGAAAAGAAACCAACAGGGAUUACCUCAGUAACGGCGAGUGAAGCGGUAACAGCUCAAAUUUGAAAUCUGGCUCCUUUGGGGCCCGAGUUGUAAUUUGUAGAAGAUGCUUUGGGUGUGGGCCUGGCCUAAGUUCCUUGGAACAGGACGUCGUAGAGGGUGAGAAUCCCGUAUGCGGCUGGCGCCCGCGCCCAUGUAAAGCUCUUUCGACGAGUCGAGUUGUUUGGGAAUGCAGCUCUAAAUGGGUGGUAAAUUUCAUCUAAAGCUAAAUAUUGGCCAGAGACCGAUAGCGCACAAGUAGAGUGAUCGAAAGAUGAAAAGCACUUUGGAAAGAGAGUUAAACAGUACGUGAAAUUGUUGAAAGGGAAGCGCUGGCAACCAGACUUGGGCGCUGUUGAUCCGUCGGGGUUCUCCCUGAGGCACUCAGCAGCGCGCAGGCCAGCAUCGGUUUGGGGGGUUGGAGAAAGGCUGGUGGAAUGUGGCUGCCUUCGGGCAGUGUUAUAGCCACCGGUGGCAUGCAGCCUCCCCGGACCGAGGACCGCGCUUCGGCUAGGAUGCUGGCGUAAUGGUUGUCAGCGACCCGUCUUGAAACACGGACCAAGG
rnacentral:rRNA from 1 species